AAGAGGAGGCGACUGAGGAGAGCUGUGGCAGCUCGACGGAGAGUGAGGGAAAGGGUGGGGGUCUGCUGAUUGCACUCUCCCCAGCCGGAGACAUCGAUACAGGCACGGUGGGCACAGAGGACAAAGCUUUGGUCACCUAUUCCUCUCCAUGUGUCCUUGGAACAUGUGACUGGAAGGUGGAGAGUUCCCGAUCAAAGGAGAGAAAAGAAGAGAGCGAAGAGGAGGGGAAAAAGGCAAGCAAAGGCGGAGCACGGAACGCAGCACAUGCCGGCAGGGUGUUACAGACAGAGGCAGCGACCGAGACGUGUCCAUCCCAUUGCAUCACAGCAUCACCAACGGCAACACAAGACCAGAGUGACCUCAUCCAUCCUGUCACAGCAGGCACAGCCCCAUUUCCUCUGACCAUCAACAGAAUAAACGACUGCGACUCCAUCAGCCCACCCCCUCCUCUUUCCCACAUAAACUCUACAAAGACAGAAGCGCAGAGAGAGGAAGAGGCUAAUCUGAAUCCGAGCCCAAUUGCAUCAGGAGCAGACCUGCCAGGCAGUGAUAGAUCACUUCCACCAGCAGUUUAUUUCGAAAACGAAUGUCUCUCUGUGCAAGCCAACGAUCAACAGGUACAGAGCUCUUCACAGACUAGAACCGCAAGCUGUGACACAUCCAUCAAGACAGCUGUGACACAUCCAUCAAGACAGAGACACAGCACAAAGACAAGAAAUAUUUCCUACAAGUGAAGAGACAUCUCAAUUUACUAAGCUACAAGUAAACAUGAGGGAUAUCGCCGCAAGUUGUACCAAAGUGGAAGGGUCUCCAAAAGGUAUGCAGAGCUCUUUUGAGAACCAAAAUGAUACAACACUGAAAUGCCAAAUGACUGAAUGUGCCUCUUUGCCCCCAUUGAUGGUAUUUGAAAGUCUACAUCAUCCAGUAAAAGAGGCUAGCUUCAACUUUAAAGGUUUUCUCAGCAUCAGCAAACCAGCACUUCCUCUUCAGACAGAACCGACCACUGGCCAGAGAAAUACUGACCUGCAUGGAGCAGAAAGGGAACAUACUGCCUCUGAAGAAGGUAAAGAUGAAAAAAAUGAAAAGCAAAAAGAAAAAGUGGAAAUGACAUUUAAAGAGUCAAAGGAUUGGAGAGAAAUGACCUGUACAUCUCAAACGCAGGGUGAUCCUACUGUAAAACUUGGCGCUAAUGUUAAUGUAAAUAUGAGUAGCUGUGAAGACGAUGGAAAAGUGACAGAUGGAACUCUUGAUGUCAGCAAGGGAAAUCCUGUUUCAUCACUGUCAGCUGCAGGUGAGACCACCUGUGUUAAUGAAUCUAAGGAUGUGGUUAAUGAAACUCUGGCAGCAACUGAAGUAAUUAAAGAGAAGCAAGAAAAUAAAGAAUGUUUGAAUGUUACUCAGACCACCCCAAAUAAUAUAGAUGAGUCAGCAUCUGCUGAGAAGAACAGUGUUUUACUACCGGAUGUAACUCCACAAGAGGGUCGUAACAGCAGCCCUGCUCUUAAUGGUGAGAGGGCUGAUAUGACUGUGUCUGAAGGAGUUGAACAAAGACAUACAGAAAUUCUGUUUACCACCAAGGAAAAGCUGGAUGAAGAGAUUGAUGAACCAAAGGGAUGUGGGUUGCCUGAAACAGGUGAUAUAGAACCAACAUGUCCAGGUAAUUCAGAAAAUCUUGUGAAUGAUAGUCGAGAGCAUGAGUCAAAGCCAGAAAAAUACACAUGUGAAGUUGAAACAAAGGUAAAAAUCAGCUCCAUGUCUCCAGCAGCUGCCCCAGACAUAGACAGCAUGUGCCCUUACACUCAACCAGACAAGAAAUCCAACACUGAGCAGCCUACUAUAAUCUCAGAGAUGCAAUUUCUGUCAAAAGCAGAUAAGUGUGAAUCACAGUUCAGUAAUGAAAUGAUGAAAAAUAAUGCAGCGGAUGCUAGGGACACAACAGUCCCUUCUCUUCCUCCAGCGGUGACUACAGUACCAGCACAAAGGGAUCGUUCCUCAAUUACCACACAAAGCACUAACAGUGAUGCCAGGGAUGUGUCUGUCAUUGUACUAAAGGCUCCAGGCCCAAUGCUGAGUCACUGUGAGUCUGUUAAUGACUGUGAUAUUGCUGUAGCAGAACCCGGGGAGGAUUGCAGUGUGAACUGUGUGUGUGAUUCUGAGACUGAGAUUGUAAAGAAUAUUACGGACAAAUCUAAUCAACAACUGGAUGUGAAUGAAGAGAGGUUAAGAUCUCAAAAUGCAGAUGAUCUGCUUUACCCUGUUGCUGUCUCCACACAGGAAAUUGCAGCAUCAUCUGGAAACCAUUUGCUUACAACUGACAGACCAGACCAGGCAGGUGAUUCACCGCUGGUGUUAAAGAACCUGGAUAUUGUUGGAAAUGCAAAGAUGAAACAGAAUGACAGAUCUAAGGGUGUUGGAGAAUUGGAGGUUGUUAGAAAAGAGAAGAGUGAAGGACAUUUAAAUUCUGUAUAUGAAAAUGAUUUAUGCAAUGCACCGAUAAAUGCUCCUACAGAAAAUGAGGUUAUUAAUAAUGACACAUCUGAAGAAUUCAAGCACAUGAAAGGGGGAGAGGACAACAAGGAGUGUGUUAAGGAAACCGAAGAAAAAAUCAAUGCAGAAAAUGAAACUAGUUCCUCUCAGGAAGAAGGGACUGAACAAAAAAAUGAAAAGCAGGGUGAAAGGAAGGAACAAGAAGUAAUGUCUUUUAAGGAGGAGAAGCAUAAUAAAGAAGAGACGAAUUCCUCUAAAACAUCAUGUGCUAAUGAGACACUUAAUUCUCAACCUGCUUUGACAAUGCAACAAAGUCCUAAUGAUGAAAUCAAAUGUGAUUCACAUCUGAUGCACUUGGAGGACAAUCUCGAUACACUUUUGACUGAGGAACCUGUUCAGCAUGUGUCUGACAAUGUAAAAAUGAAUAAAAGUGUAUCCAAAAGAUUCAGUCAGGUGAUGGGAGGAGAGCAGAACAGGGAGAUUAUGCAAGAAAAUGAGGUGCAAAAUGUAAAAUCCAUUGCAGAAAAGGACAGCAAAAAAAGUGCAAAUACCUCUCAAGAACAGAAUGAGAUUGCUGCAAAAGAAAAAGCUGAUCAAACACAAGCAGAAAAUCAGACAUUAAUAAAUCUCUCUAAUCUAUCAGGAGAAAAAAAAUUAUUAGAUGAAACCAUUCCAAGAGGAAAAUUGCAUUCUAGCCCUAUGGAUGAUCCUGGUUUAACCUCUGAAGGGAUUAUAGAAGAGGCUCUGAGUUGUAGAGGGGCACUAACUGAAAAAUCUCCUCCAGUCGUUGAUCACACCAUGUCAGCAGUGGUGAAUGCUUCUCCUAAAAGAGACCACACACAAGAUCCAAGGGGUUUGAGCCAGUCAGAUUUGGCACUUUCACAAUCCGGAGAGCACCAGCUGCAACAGAACUUUAUGAGUGCCCCAAAAGCAAUGUUAAGUGUGAGUAAAAGCAACGUUUUAGAAAAUGCUGAGACCAAUAAUCAUGCAAAUGCUGAGGCAAGUGAAAAGCAAGAGAAGGUGGUGAUGUAUUAUAGUGCAGAGGCUCCAAGUUCCCUAAACAGCACAUCAGAGAGUGCUGCACUGGUGGGGGGCUAUAACAAAGAUGUUGCUGUGUUCAAUAUAUGUCCAGAGAAUGAAAAGAAGACAAUACAAACAAUAGAUCUUAAUGGUGGGAGAUUUCCUGUUUGUGGUGAAAGUACUUCAAGUGAAAUCCAACCUCAGUCAGCUCCCAGCUUGUCUAUAACAGCAUCGUCAGCUUUUGAAACUUUAGAAGUCAAACGGGUUAUAGAGGCUACAGAGGCAAAAGAGCCUGCCAUCUCAGCAUCACAGGAAAGUGUGAGUAAACAUGCAGACUGUACCAAAUCACAGGUCAGCGCGGAUACACAUGGGAAUGUGUGGAACGAAAUCCCUGACACCAAGAAAGGCUCAGAAUUUCCGUUAAAUCACUCAAGUGAGUUUUCUGUGAUUCCCACAUUCUCACACCAUGAGGCAGGGCUAAAAACAGAAGAGAAAUGUUUCGAUUCUGUUACCCCUGGAGACACUGGAAACAUUGAGAUCAGUUCUGAUUCAAUGAGUGAUUUUGCACAGAUGUCUACAGCAGGAACUUCCCAAAUUCAACAAGAGAAAGAAUUCGUUUUUCAGUUCUCUGAUUGCCAGCUCUCCACCACUACAUCCUCUGCUUCUGUCCUCCAAAAAUGUAUUAAAGAGGAAAAAGAGAUAAGUGUGGAUCAGACCCUUAAAGAUGCACUAGAACCUAACACUCCUAAUUCCACUCCCCAAUCUGAGACAGCCACCUGGAAGAUGGAGCAGCUUAAUAAGCAUUUGUCAGUGCAAUUCCCAGAUGGUACCCAAAACACAGAGGAGCAGAAUACACAGUGUUCUGAACAGCAGUUACAACAUGUAAGAACUUGUUUGGACACUAAAAAUACAAUCAGUUCUAUGGAAGAAGAAAACACCAUUUCAAAUGACGUACAACAGCGAGAAGGAAUUCAAGUAGAGAGAAGUAAACAGAUGGUGGAUGAAGAAAAGAACAAGGCCAUUGAAAAUGAUCACAGAGAAAUGUUCAAAGGGGCUGAACCUAAGUCUUCACAGUCUAUAAUUGAAGAAAGCAUCUCCAAAGAAAACCAAAGCAAGUUGGAGGAGCAUUCUUUAUUUUCCCCUGUUGAAGCAAUAGUCGAUAAUGUAGACCAGCAAAUUGAAGAAGUUUCUAAUGGAUCACAGACAGAAAUGAUAGAGGCUGUGUCAUUGUUAUACCCUGAGACCUCUAUUUGCUUGGUGACUGACCCCCAGGAUUCCCACCAGUCCCCUCCUGCAGUCAAUCAACAGUGUAGUCAGCAGUCCACUAAGUCUUUUAUCCAAAACUUACGUGAAAACGCCACAAAGAAAGUUGAAAGUAGAAGUGAGCGAAGUCCUGACAUAGCAGAUAACUCUCCUGGAGACAUAGAAUCCGUUCUAAUCAAAAAAGCGAUAGAGAAAAAUGACAGAGAAGAUGAAGUCAGUAAGGUGUCAACAGCUGCAGAUGUGUUGCUGGGUUCAGGCACAAGAACAGAGCAGAUAUCACAGGUUAUCGACAGUUCAGACAGCCAAAUGCUAAGUGCAGUCUUUGUACCUGAGAGGUCAGAUGUAGUCAACUCUGAAGGGUCUGAUUGGCUCAGAGCUCUGAAGGAUGCAGCCUCCAUGUCUCAGAUCAUUCCAGAGCACAGAGAUGAGUCUACCUGUGGAUCUACAGAAAACAGGCCAUUUGAGACCCUCUGUUCACCUCAGACUGAUCUAGAAUUCCGAAACCCCAACUGA
rnacentral:lncRNA from 1 species